CCUACGGGAGGCAGCAGUGGGGAAUAUUGGACAAUGGGCGAAAGCCUGAUCCAGCAAUGCCGCGUGAGUGAUGAAGGCCUUAGGGUUGUAAAGCUCUUUUACCAGGGAUGAUAAUGACAGUACCUGGAGAAUAAGCUCCGGCUAACUCCGUGCCAGCAGCCGCGGUAAUACGGAGGGAGCUAGCGUUGUUCGGAAUUACUGGGCGUAAAGCGUACGUAGGCGGUUAUUCAAGUCAGAGGUGAAAGCCUGGAGCUCAACUCCAGAACUGCCUUUGAAACUAGAUAGCUAGAAUCUUGGAGAGGUGAGUGGAAUUCCGAGUGUAGAGGUGAAAUUCGUAGAUAUUCGGAAGAACACCAGUGGCGAAGGCGACUCACUGGACAAGUAUUGACGCUGAGGUACGAAAGCGUGGGGAGCAAACAGGAUUAGAUACCCUGGUAGUCCACGCCGUAAACGAUGAUAACUAGCUGUUCGGGCUCUACGAGCUUGAGUGGCGCAGCUACGACAUUAAGUUAGUCCGUCCGUCGGGAGGUACGGUCGGCGAAGAAGUUAAAACGUUAAAGUUAAGUUAAGUUAGUACGGUUACGUUGAGACGUUGCCGAACGGACGACGACGAGGGGAGGUUAGG
rnacentral:rRNA from 1 species